rnacentral:rRNA from 1 species
GAUGAACGCUGGCGGCGUGCCUAAUACAUGCAAGUCGAGCGAACAGAUGAGGAGCUUGCUCCUCUGACGUUAGCGGCGGACGGGUGAGUAACACGUGGAUAACCUACCUAUAAGACUGGGAUAACUUCGGGAAACCGGAGCUAAUACCGGAUAAUAUAUUGAACCGCAUGGUUCAAUAGUGAAAGACGGUUUUGCUGUCACUUAUAGAUUGAUCCGCGCCGCAUUAGCUAGUUGGUAAGGUAACGGCUUACCAAGGCAACGAUGCGUAGCCGACCUGAGAGGGUGAUCGGCCACACUGGAACUGAGACACGGUCCAGACUCCUACGGGAGGCAGCAGUAGGGAAUCUUCCGCAAUGGGCGAAAGCUUGACGGAGCAACGCCGCGUGAGUGAUGAAGGUCUUCGGAUCGUAAAACUCUGUUAUUAGGGAAGAACAAAUGUGUAAGUAACUAUGCACGUCUUGACGGUACCUAAUCAGAAAGCCACGGCUAACUACGUG